CCCCAGGUCAGGCGGGGCUACCCGCUGAGUUUAAGCAUAUCAAUAAGCGGAGUAAAAAA
rnacentral:rRNA from 1 species